rnacentral:rRNA from 1 species
UACGUAGGGGGCAAGCGUUAUCCGGAUUUACUGGGUGUAAAGGGAGCGUAGACGGCGAGACAAGUCUGAAGUGAAAUGCCAGUGCUCAACACUGGAACUGCUUUGGAAACUGCCUGGCUGGAGUGCGGGAGAGGUAAGUGGAAUUCCUAGUGUAGCGGUGAAAUGCGCAGAUAUCAGGAGGAACACCGAUGGCGAAGGCAGGUCUCUGGGCCGCAACUGACGCUGAGGAG